rnacentral:misc_RNA from 1 species
GAUGAAGAACGCAGCGAAAUGCGAUAGGUAAUGUGAAUUGCAGAAUUCAGUGAAUCAUCGAAUCUUUGAACGCACAUUGCGCCCGCCAGUAUUCUGGCGGGCAUGCCUGUUCGAGCGUCAUUACAACCCUCAGGCCCCCGGGCCUGGCGUUGGGGAUCGGCGGAGCCCCCCGUGGGCACACGCCGUCCCCCAAAUGCAGUGGCGGUCCCGCCGCAGCUUCCAUCGCGUAGUAGCUAACACCUCGCGACUGGAGAGCGGCGCGGCCACGCCGUAAAACACCCAACUCUUCUGAAGUUGACCUCGAAUCAGGUAGGAAUACCCGCUGAACUUAAGCAUAUCAAUAAGCGGAGGA